rnacentral:misc_RNA from 1 species
AAUUCUCAACCUUUCCAUUUUGUAAUGAAGUGUUGAAAGGCUUGGAUUGUGGAGGUUUGCGGGCUCUUGUAGUCGGCUCCUCUGAAAUGCAUUAGCGGAGACUUGUAGGCUUUCUCCUUGGUGUGAUAAUUAUCUACGCUUUGGAUGUCUGCAUCAUGCUUUGCUGUCUAAUCGUCUCGCAAGGGACAAUUAUCAAA